UUCUCCUGAUCGGAUGUAAAAGUGAUUAAUAGAGCUCGGUAGACAAGUGUUCAUUUAAGUGUAAUAAAAAAGUGAAAAGUAUAGAAAAAAGAUACAAAUUUAUUCCAACAUAUUGUACCCUGAGAAAGAAGCAAUUUGAUAUAUGGGACCCAUUUAAGGAAAAGGUUUUUUGCUUUUACGAAGAGCAAAUGCAAAACAAAAAGCAACUUAAACUAUUAAAGACAGUUCAGAAAACUGUAUCACUUGAUUACAAGGACUAAAUUUACACCGUAUUGCUCACAUCUGUCAUCUUAAAUAAUUCGUGGACCGUCAUUAAAGGAACCAACAAGC